rnacentral:rRNA from 1 species
GACGAACGCUGGCGGCGUGCUUAACACAUGCAAGUCGAACGGAAAGGCCCUGCUUUUGUGGGGUGCUCGAGUGGCGAACGGGUGAGUAACACGUGAGUAACCUGCCCUUGACUUUGGGAUAACUUCAGGAAACUGGGGCUAAUACCGGAUAGGAGCUCCUGCUGCAUGGUGGGGGUUGGAAAGUUUCGGCGGUUGGGGAUGGACUCGCGGCUUAUCAGCUUGUUGGUGGGGUAGUGGCUUACCAAGGCUUUGACGGGUAGCCGGCCUGGGAGGGUGACCGGCCACAUUGGGACUGCGGUACGGCCCAGACUCCUACGGGAGGCAACGGUGGGGAAUAUUGCACAGUGGGCGGAAGCCUGAUGCGGCAGCGCCGCGUGCGGGAUGACGGCCUUCGGGUUAUAAACCGCUUUCGCCUGUGACGAAGCGUGAGUGACGGUAAUGGGUAAAGAAGCACCGGCUAACUACGUG